rnacentral:rRNA from 1 species
UACGUAGGGUGCAAGCGUUGUCCGGAAUUAUUGGGCGUAAAGAGCUCGUAGGCGGCUUGUCGCGUCGUCCGUGAAAACCCCACAGCUCAACUGUGGGCUUGCGGUCGAUACGGGCAGGCUAGAGUUCGGUAGGGGAGACUGGAAUUCCUGGUGUAGCGGUGAAAUGCGCAGAUAUCAGGAGGAACACCGGUGGCGAAGGCGGGUCUCUGGGCAGUAACUGACGGCUGGAGGAGCGGAAAGCGUGGGGAGCGAACAGG